rnacentral:rRNA from 1 species
UACGUAGGGGGCAAGCGUUAUCCGGAUUUACUGGGUGUAAAGGGAGCGUAGGCGGUGCAGCAAGUCAGAAGUGAAAGCCCGGGGCUCAACUCCGGGACUGCUUUUGAAACUGUUGAACUAGAUUGCAGGAGAGGUAAGUGGAAUUCCUAGUGUAGCGGUGAAAUGCGUGGAUAUUAGGAGGAACACCAGUGGCGAAGGCGGCUUACCGGACUGUAAAUGACGCUGAGGCUCGAAAGCGUGGGGAGCAAACAGG